GAGGGUGUAGCUCAGUGGUAGAGCACGUGCUAAGCAUGCACGAGGUCCUGGGUUCAAUCCCCAGUACCUCCA
rfam:Camelus ferus unplaced genomic scaffold scaffold672, whole genome shotgun sequence.